AGCUCCAAUAGCGUAUAUUAAAGUUGUUGCAGUUAAAAAGCUCGUAGUUGAAUUUUGGAUCUGGCAAUGUGGUGCUUCCGCAAGGGAGCGACUGCAGCGUUGGAUCUUUUUGUAGCAAAGUCAUAUGCCUUUAACCGGGUGUGUGAGGGCGCUACAGGUUUACCUUGAAAAAAUUAGAGUGUUUAAGGCAGGCAUACGCUUGAAUACAUUAGCAUGGAAUAAUAGAAUAGGACUUUGGUUCUAUUUUGUUGGUUUCUAGGACCAGAGUAAUGAUUAAUAGGGAUAGUUGGGGGCAUUAGUAUUUCAUUGUCAGAGGUGAAAUUCUUGGAUUGAUGAAAGACUAACUACUGCGAAAGCAUUUGCCAAGGAUGUUUUCA
rnacentral:rRNA from 1 species